UACGUAGGGCGCAAGCGUUGUCCGGAAUUAUUGGGCGUAAGAGCUCGUAGGCGGUUUGUCACGUCGGAUGUGAAAGCCCGGGGCUUAACCCCGGGUCUGCAUUCGAUACGGGCAGACUAGAGUGUGGUAGGGGAGAUCGGAAUUCCUGGUGUAGCGGUGAAAUGCGCAGAUAUCAGGAGGAACACCGGUGGCGAAGGCGGAUCUCUGGGCCAUUACUGACGCUGAGGAGCGAAAGCGUGGGGAGCGAACAGG
rnacentral:rRNA from 1 species